rnacentral:lncRNA from 1 species
AGGAAGAGGAGGCUGCCAAAUGGGCCCGGGAAGAGGAAGAAGCCCAGCGCCGACUGGAAGAGAACCGGCUGCGCAUGGAGGAGGAGGCAGCCAGACUUAGGCAUGAAGAAGAGGAACGAAAACGGAAGGAACUGGAGCUGCAGAGACAGAAGGAUCUGAUGCGCCAGAGGCAGCAGCAGCAAGAAGCCCUCCGAAGACUGCAGCAGCAACAGCAGCAGCAGCAGCUUGCACAAAUGAAGCUUCCCUCUUCGUCAACGUGGGGACAGCAGUCUAACACCACAACAUGUCAGUCCCAGGCCACACUGUCAUUGGCUGAGAUCCAGAAGCUGGAAGAAGAACGAGAACGCCAGCUUCGAGAAGAGCAAAGGCGUCAGCAGAGGGAAUUGAUGAAAGCUCUCCAGCAGCAGCAGCAGCAGCAGCAACAACAGAAACUCUCAGGUUGGGGGAAUGUCAGCAAACCUGCAGGUACCACCAAGUCUCUACUAGAGAUCCAGCAGGAAGAGGCCAGGCAGAUGCAGAAGCAGCAGCAGCAGCAGCAACAGCAACAGCAACACCAGCAAUCAAACAGAGCCCGGAACAGCACACAUUCCAACCUGCACACCAGCAUUGGGAAUUCUGUAUGGGGCUCUAUAAACACAGGUCCUCCUAACCAGUGGGCGUCUGAUCUAGUCAGUAGUAUCUGGAGUAAUGCAGACACCAAAAACUCCAACAUGGGGUUUUGGGAUGAUGCAGUGAAAGAGGUGGGACCUAGAAAUUCAACAAAUAAAAAUAAAAACAACGCCAGUCUCAGUAAAUCUGUAGGUGUGUCUAACCGGCAGAAUAAGAAAGUAGAAGAAGAAGAAAAGUUGCUGAAGCUCUUUCAGGGAGUAAAUAAA